CUCUUCGACGCCGGGCGUCGUCCGUGUAGCGCGCACCUCCCCGCCCCGCAGUUCUCGCGAGUGUCGGUCGGUCGCGGAGGAACCCGGCGUGUAGUUCGGUGGUCGCCGACCGUGUGCUGUCAGCCGGAUCGUCAUUCGCCCACCUCUUGCCACACAGAUUGCCGCCAGCGCGAGGUGAUGGGUUCGGCCGCGUGCAGCUGCCACCGCCAGCAGAGUGACGCGGCCUGCUGACGUCACGGCACCCAGCACUCGCAGGCGGCGAGUUGGUGAUGGCGUGAGCCUAUGGAAGCAGAGUCGGCCCCCGCGCUAGGCGAGCGUCCCGCGUCGGCGGCGGCGCAGCUGCUGCACGUGCCGUGCGAUGGCGCCGCC